GAAUCACUGGGCUUAAAGAGCACGUAGGCGGACUGCCAAGCGUCUUGUGAAAUCCCCCGGCUCAACCGGGAAUUGCUGGGCGAACUGGUAGUCUUGAGGCAAGUAGGGGCAGAUGGAACUCUUGGUGGACCGGUGGAAUGCGUAGAUAUCAAGAGGAACGCCAGAGGCGAAGGCGAUCUGCUGGGCUUGACCUGACGCUGAGGUGCGAAAGCCAGGGGAGCAAACGGGAUUAGAUACCCCGGUAGUCCUGGCCAUAAACGAUGUCCACUAGAUCGGUGAACUUCUGACAGUGUGCCGGUCGAAACAAAAGCGUUAAGUGGACCGCCUGGGGAGUACGGUCGCAAGGCUAAAACUCAAAGGAAUUGACGGGGGCUCACACAAGCGGUGGAGCAUGUUGCUUAAUUCGAUGCAACGCGAAGAACCUUAUCCUGGGCUUGACAUGCUUGGAUGCCCAUCUGGAAACAGAGUAGGCUGCCCUUCGGGGUGAAACUUGCACAGGUGCUGCAUGGCUGUCGUCAGCUCGUGUCGUGAGAUGUUGGGUUAAGUCCCGUAACGAGCGAAACCCUUGUCGUUAGUUGCCAGCGCGUAAUGGCGGGGACUCUAGCGAGACUGCCGGCGUUAAACCGGAGGAAGGUGGGGAUGACGUCAAGUCCUCAUGGCCUUUAUGCCCAGGGCUGCAAACGUGCUACAAUGGCGAGGACAAACCGACGCAAAGCCGCGAGGUCGAGCAAAUCGGAGAAACCUUGCCCCAGUUCGGAUUGGAGUCUGCAACUCGACUCCAUGAAGUCGGAAUCGCUAGUAAUCGCGUAUCAGCGUGGCGCGGUGAAUAUGUUCCUGAGCAUUGUACACACCGCCCGUCAAGUCAUGGAAGCUGGGAGCGCCCGAAGUCGGGGUA
rnacentral:rRNA from 1 species